CAGCGGCGGCGUCAACAAUGUAUUAGUUUGUGAUUAGGUCUAGUUCAUGGUGAACCACUAGUGGUAGGUCAAUGAUAUUUGGUAUGCAGUUGUAUUAGCAUUGGCACAUCUCAUUACCAUGCAGAUUAUUUGGCCCCGCCCCCUCAGUCAAGGUCUAUUGACUUUGAAACUUUUCAUAGUUUACAUGUAUUAGUUUGUGAUUAGGUCAAUUUAUGGGGAACCACUAGUGGUAGGUCAAUGAUAUUUGGUAUGCAGUUGUAUAAGCAUUGGCAUAUCUGAUUUCCAUGGAGAUUAUUUGGCUCUGCCCCCUUAGACAUGGUCUGUAGACUUUGAAAAUUUUGCUAAGUUAACAUGUAUUAGUAUGUGAUUAGGUCAGUUCAAGGGGAACCAUUAGUAGUAGGCCAAUGUUAAUUGGUGUUCAGUUGUAUAAGUAUUAGCACAUCUCAUUUCCAUGGAGAAUAUUUGUCCCCACCCCCUCAGUCAUGGUCUAUUUACUUUGAAACUUUUGCUUAGUUUACAUGUAUUAGUUUGUGAUUAGAUCAGUUUAAGAUCAACUGCUAAUGUUAAGUCAAUGAUAUUUGGUAUGCAAAUUUACUGGCAUUUGCAAGUAUCGUUUCCAUGGAGAUUAUAUAGCCCCACCCCUGAUCAUGGUUCAUUGACUUUGAAACUUUUACAUAGUUUACAACUUAAUGUUUGUGUUUAGGUUUGUUUAAAGGGAACGACUUAUCAUUAGUCAAUGGUAUUUGGUAUGCAGUUGUAUUAGCAUUGGCACAUCUCAUUCCAUGGAGAUUGUUUAGCCAUGUACCUUCAGUCAUGGUUCAUUGACUUUGAAUAUUUGCAUAACUUACAUGUUAAAGUAUUGCUAUUUUAAUUUCAACAUUUGUAUUAUCAAAAUUACAAAAAGGCGAGACAUAUCUCUGUGAUAACAGUUUAUUUGUUAUUUUAAAAGAAAAGUGAUAUAAAGGUUCCAAAUGGAAUAUGAUUGCUUUGAGAUACCAUUACUGGCAUUAGAAUUGGUUGCAAAAAUAUUGGCUUGUUUUUUUCUUCUGCAAAUCUAGUCUGCUCUUGCCUAUAUUAUGAUUUAAGUUGAAUUUUAAGUGAGAAGAAAUGUUUUGAAACAUAUUCAAUUUUGAUUUUAUAAAUAAAAUAAAAAUAAGAAAAUUUUGAUUAACUUUAUAAUUCUUUCAUAUAAAGCUGUGAUCAGAUAGAUAUGAAUACUAUUUUUUUGUAGAUAAUAAUUCUUUUACAUGUGUAUUUUUUCAUGAUAAACAGGGUAAUUUAUUUUCUUCUUUUUUAUUUGUGUACAAAUAUAUGAUUUAAAAGCUACAAAAAAGGUCAUAUAUAAGAAAUCCUAAUUUGUUUUUAUUUUUUAUAAGAAAACGAUUCAUCAAAAUAAAAUGUUUAAGCUUAUUGUGUUCAAAAGUGUGAUAUCAGAAAUAUUUAGUAGCUUCAUCAGUUAUACUGUUUAUUUAGAUAAGUGGGUUUAUAUUGUAUAAAUCGGUUUUCACUACAAAUACCAGAUAGACCAAAGAUGUGUAAAAUAAAGUCAUUUUAUAGACAAUAUAUAUUCAUGUGCAAUCAGAUAUGUUUUUUUGUAAAUCAAAAUCAAUAGGUUGGAUGUUAUAUAAAAUAGCUCAGCUGAAAGAUAUUUUAAACCAUACUUCAGCUGUGAAAUGAAUUGUUAUCAAACCUGCAUGUUUACUGUUGAUUUUGGGGAAUUAUAGAGCUAACAUUCAGUUUAUGACUUAGUCACUCAAACUCGAUGAGGAAAACAUAUUUCAAGCCAUUUACUCAAGAUCAUCAGCCACAGGGAUUUUUCAGUGGAUCACUUUAAGUGCAUUGCAUAAUCAACUUAUUUUGAUACUUCAUCCAAAUGCCUUAUUGAUAUUUUUGUUAUUGUUUGUAGUUGUUUAUAUGGUAUUAUAUAUAAAUUAUUGUAUUGUG